CAACCCUCAAGCUCUGCUUGGUAUUGGGCUUCACUGCACAGUGGGCCUUAAAAUCAGUGGCGGUGCCGUCUUGGCUCUAAGCGUAGUAAAUCUCUCGCUCUAGGACCUUGGUAGUGCUUGCCAAUAACCCCAAAUUUUUCUAU
rnacentral:misc_RNA from 1 species